rnacentral:antisense_RNA from 1 species
UGUGGGAGCGGGCUUGCUCGCGAAUGCGGUCGAGCAUUCAACAUUAAUGUCGACUGUGACGACGCCUUCGCGAGCAAGCUCGCUCCCACA